rnacentral:tRNA from 1 species
GCCGCUUUAGCUCAAGAUGGCAGUAGCAUUUCAUGAAAUGAAAUGGUUGUCAGUUUAACCCUGACAAGCGGCA